rnacentral:rRNA from 1 species
AUUGAACGCUGGCGGAAUGCUUUACACAUGCAAGUCGAACGGUAGAGGGGGCAACCCCUCGAGAGUGGCGAACGGGUGAGUAAUAUAUCGGAACGUGCCCAGUCGUGGGGGAUAACGUAGCGAAAGUUACGCUAAUACCGCAUACGAUCUAAGGAUGAAAGCGGGGGAUCGCAAGACCUCGCGCGAUUGGAGCGGCCGAUAUCAGAUUAGGUAGUUGGGGGGGUAAAGGCUCACCAAGCCAACGAUCUGUAGCUGGUCUGAGAGGACGACCACCCACACUGGAACUGAGCCACGGUCCAGACUCCUACGGGAGGCAGCAGUGGGGAAUUUUGGACAAUGGACGCAAGUCUGAUCCAGCCAUUCCGCGUGCAGGAUGAAGGCCCUCGGGUUGUAAACUGCUUUUGUACGGAACGAAAAGGUCUCUCUUAAUACGGGGGACUCAUGACGGUACCGUAAGAAUAAGCACCGGCUAACUACGUGCCAGCAGCCGCCGUAA